AGAGAAGGGAUGACACAGUAGGAUAAGCAAAGCACACUGUUGGUUAUGUGUGCCCAAGCAUUGAGGCAGUCAAAGGAGGCAAAUCCGCUUUGAUAAUGCUGGGAUGUGAUGGGGAGCGAAAUUUAGUAGCGAAGUAGCUGAUUUCACACUGUCAAGAAAAGUCUCUAUCGAGGUUAAAGGUACCCGUACCGCAAACCGACACAGGUGGGUGAGGAGAGUAUCCUAAGGCCAGCGAGAGAACUGUUGUUAAGGAACUCGGCAAAAUGACCCCGUAACUUAGGGAUAAGGGGUGCCACCAUCAGGUGGCCGCAGAGAAUAGGCCCAAGCGACUGUUUACCAAAAACAUAGGUUUCUGCUAAGUCGCAAGACGAUGUAUAGGAGCUGACGCCUGCCCGGUGCUGGAAGGUUAAGGGGAUCUGUUAGAGCAAUCGAAGCAGUGAACUUAAGCCCCAGUAAACGGCGGCCGUAACUAUAACGGUCCUAAGGUAGCGAAAUUCCUUGUCGGGUAAGUUCCGACCCGCACGAAAGGCGUAACGAUUUGGGCACUGUCUCAACAACAGACUCGGUGAAAUUGUAAUUCCGGUGAAGAUGCCGGAUACCUGCGACAGGACGGAAAGACCCCAUGGAGCUUUACUGUAGCUUGACAUUGGGUCUUGGUACUACAUGUACAGGAUAGGUGGGAGGCUUUGAAACCAGGACGCCAGUUUUGGCGGAGCCAUCCUUGGGAUACCACCCUUGUAGUACUGGGACUCUAACCAUAGGCCAUGAAUCUGGUCUUGGGACACUGUCAGGUGGGCAGUUUGACUGGGGCGGUCGCCUCCCAAAAGGUAACGGAGGCGCUCAAAGGUUCUCUCAGUACGGUCGGAAAUCGUACGUAGAGUGUAAAGGCAAAAGAGAGCUUGAUUGCAAGACAUACAGGUCGAGCAAGGAUGAAAAUCGGACUUAGUGAUCCGGUGGUUCUGCGUGGAAGGGCCAUCGCUCAACGGAUAAAAGCUACCCUGGGGAUAACAGGCUUAUCUCCCCCAAGAGUCCACAUCGACGGGGAGGUUUGGCACCUCGAUGUCGGCUCAUCACAUCCUGGGGCUGUAGUAGGUCCCAAGGGUUGGGCUGUUCGCCCAUUAAAGUGGUACGCGAGCUGGGUUCAGAACGUCGUGAGACAGUUCGGUCCCUAUCCGUCGCAGGCGUAGGAAAUUUGAGAAGACCUGUCCUUAGUACGAGAGGACCGGGAUGGACGUACCUCUGGUGUACCAGUUGUCUGCCAAGGGCAUGGCUGGGUAGCUAUGUACGGAAUGGAUAAGCGCUGAAAGCAUCUAAGCGCGAAGCCAACUUCAAGAUAAGAUUUCCCACCGCAAGGGUAAGACCCCAGAAAGACUAUCUGGUUGAUAGGUCGAAGGUGUAAGUGCAGCAAUGUAUUUAGCUUAUCGAUACUAAUAGGUCGAGGACUUGACCAA
rnacentral:rRNA from 1 species